rnacentral:lncRNA from 1 species
UUUCCUGAUACAGCAGUGUUAUGCUCUUCUGAAGAUGGGGAUUUUCAUCCAAACCCUCUUUUAGGACUGCCUUCACACCUUCACACCUGAAUGUAUUCUUCGUUCUUCUGGAAUGUUUAUAGGGCUGCUCUGGCUCUCGCCACUUGCGACUGGAUUUUGGUGCGACUUCUAGAAUCUGAGCAUGGACCAGCAGCUACAGAAUUCAGGGACUGAGCAGAGAGGAGAAAUAAGGAGAGAGUCUGGGAGUGAAAGUGUGUGCAACAGGCUGUCUGCUCACAGUGAUGUCCGACAUAGAAUAUUUUCACGCCAGUGGAACUACUGUGAACAUCUCAGCCAAAAUGUAUUCCCCAUCAUUGACUGCUCCUGAGCUGUCAUUGAUCAGUACUGAAGGUAUAAUCUACAGGUACACAGCUCUGGCAGUCUUUCAAAUGGAUACGGUGGAAAUUUACAAACAGGUUAGUCUCAUCCCCCAUAAACAUCUGUGUCUUGCGCCAUAUACAUCCACGCUGUGGUGUUCCCGAUCUCUUGGAACUUUUGUUGAUCAGUGA